rnacentral:rRNA from 1 species
AGUGAACGCUGGCGGCGUGCUUAACACAUGCAAGUCGAACGAGAACGGGUUAUAGCUUGCUGUAAUUGUCAGCUAAGUGGCGCACGGGUGAGUAAUGUGUAGGUAAUAUGCCUCUUACUAAGGGAUAACAAAUGGAAACGUUUGCUAAUACCUUAUACUCCUUAUUAACAGAAGUUAAUAAGGGAAAGAUUUAUUGGUAAGAGAUUAGCCUGUAUUGUAUCAGUUAGUUGGUGGGGUAAUGGCUUACCAAGACUAUGACACAUAACUGGUUUGAGAGGAUGAUCAGUCACACUGGGACUGAGACACGGUCCAGACUCCUACGGGAGGCAGCAGUGGGGAAUAUUGCACAAUGGACGAAAGUCUGAUGCAGCAACGCCGCGUGGAGGAUGACACAUUUCGGUGCGUAAACUCCUUUUAUAUGAGAAGAUAAUGACGGUAUUAUAUGAAUAAGCACCGGCUAACUCCGUGCCAGCAGCCGCCGUAA